AAAUUGAAGAGUUUGAUCAUGGCUCAGAUUGAACGCUGGCGGCAGGCCUAACACAUGCAAGUCGAACGGUAACAGGAAGCAGCUUGCUGUUUCGCUGACGAGUGGCGGACGGGUGAGUAAUGUCUGGGAAACUGCCUGAUGGAGGGGGAUAACUAUUGGAAACGGUGGCUAAUACCGCAUAACGUCGCAAGACCAAAGAGGGGGACCUUCGGGCCUCUUGCCAUCAGAUGUGCCCAGAUGGGAUUAGCU
rnacentral:rRNA from 1 species